UACGUAGGGUGCAGGCGUUAAUCGGAAUUACUGGGCGUAAAGCGUGCGCAGGCGGUUUGCUAAGACAGGUGUGAAAUCCCCGGGCUUAACCUGGGAACUGCGCUUGUGACUGGCAAGCUUGAGUGUGGCAGAGGGGGGUGGAAUUCCACGUGUAGCAGUGAAAUGCGUAGAGAUGUGGAGGAACACCGAUGGCGAAGGCAGCCCCCUGGGCUAACACUGACGCUCAUGCACGAAAGCGUGGGGAGCAAACAGG
rnacentral:rRNA from 1 species